AUAAAACAAAACACGUGUAACCAGUAAUAUCUAUUAAUAUUUAUUUCUGUUUUUCCCUCUGAUGUCCUGCAGCAGCUCUGUCUCAACUCAGCCAACUGCUGCUGUAGCUGGGAUUAACAUGCAACAGAACGGGGCUCAGCAGCCUCCCAGUGAACACCGCUGGACCGGGACCAAACACAGCCUCUGACACAGACGGAGGCCAUUUUGGCAACAGCAGUAGCCAGUAACAGAAGCUAAAUCCUCAGCAGGAUGCUGGUGACAUUUGAGAACAGCUGGCUGGCCUUUCUGAGCUCCGUGCUUCACUUUGCAGGUGUCACAGAGCAAAUAUCCAGUGGUCAGCUGACCAAGAUGUGAAGAGUUGCCUGAUGGUUGCCUUGUAAUGUACUUAAGAAUGCAGACUCACAUGGUGCAUCUGCUGAUGGAAAACUGAG